rnacentral:rRNA from 1 species
UACGUAGGCAGCGAGCGUUGUUCGGAAUUACUGGGCGUAAAGAGUGUGUAGGCGGUGCUCUAAGUUCGGUGUGAAAUCUCCUGGCUUAACUGGGAGGGUGCGCCGAAAACUGGAGUGCUCGAGCGUGGGAGAGGAAAGCGGAAUUCCUGGUGUAGCGGUGAAAUGCGUAGAUAUCUGGAGGAACACCGGUGGCGAAGGCGGCAUCCUGGACCGACACUGACGCUGAGGAGCGAAAGCCAGGGGAGCAAACGGG